UAUGUUCCUAUAAGUGCGAAAAAUUAGUCUCAAAUUUUGUGUUUAUUAUAUUAUUUGACAACAGAAUAGUAUUCAUGUAAUCGUACUUGUUUAUCAACAAAUUACUUUUAUUAUAUUGGUCAGUCAAGCGUUUCGUGAGUAUUUCUGUUUUAAAAUCCAAGUAUUCCUUAUUCGUGGACCUACGAACACAGAUACUUUAUAAUGUUUUUGGCAAUAUUGUGAACUAUCGUGUUACUUGAAAUAUUACAGACACAAGUCACUUUUUUCAGUAACGAUUUGGUAAUGGCGAUUUUUUUCUCCUUUUUGUUGAUUACAUUAACAGUAAUGUAAUUGCAUUCUUAGGUAACAAACGUAACAGUAACUUUUUAUUGUUACAUUAUACAUGUAAAAGACACAUGUCGCAAUUUGUUUUGCACAACGGCAGCUUUUAUUUCGGGAUUUGUAAGGAAGAAAUCGGAAAUGGAAACAAAGAGAUGAAGAAAGUAACGGAAAUAGUAACGAAUUACUUUUCCCGAUGGAUUCCGAAAUUAACAAUCUAAACUUCUGCAACGAUGAUCCUACUAUCUUCUGUUCUAAAACCAAAUCAUCCACUCUGAACUGAUGCUUCAGGAUGAUAUGACAUAAGACGAGAUACGGGACCUUGGUAUAUGGGACUAAAUCCGCGUGUUUGUAGAGACGCGCAUCUACCUGGCACGCGUGUAUAAUUAACAGAACGAUUACAUUGAAAUAUGUAAAUAAAAUGAAAACAUACAGUACGCUGUGCAAUCAAUGCGAAAUUUGUCAACGGAUCCAAGAAAAUGAUGGACGCUCAUACAAUUUAUAUGAUGUAAAAGGAAACGUACCACUGAA